rnacentral:rRNA from 1 species
GCCGAACGCUGGCGGCGCGCUUAACACAUGCAAGUCGAGCGAAGCGGCGGACGGGUGAGUAACCCGUGAGUAACCUGCCUUAGACAUUGGGAUAGCCUCGGGAAACCGGGAUUAAUACCAAAUGGUCUAAGAUGGACCCGCGUCCCAUUAGCUAGUUGGUGGGUAACGGCCCACCCAGGCGACGAUGGGUAGCCGGCCGGAGAGGGUGAACGGCCACAUUGGAACUGAGAAACGGUCCAAACGCUACGGGAGGCAGCAGUGGGGAAUAUUGCACAAGGGAGGGAACUCUGAUGCAGCGACGCCGCGUGAACGAAGAAGGCUGUCGAGUCGUAAAGUUCUUUUAUAUGGGAAGCGGUACCAUAAGAAAAAGCACCGGCUAACUCCGUGCCAGCAGCCGCGGUAAUUC